GCUGCAGUUCCACCCACUGACAGCAAAGGGCUGGUGAAGUUCAGCCCUCAGCCUGCUCAGCUCCUACGGGCAGGGUUCAGAGGCAGCGUAACAGCGUGUUCCCCUUACAGCUGUUCUCAAAGGUCACCCUGGAAACUGAAUGGACGUGUACAUUUGGCUCAAAGGCACGAGUUAUACCCGACUUGAUGUCUCGGAAGGGUGAGAGCACCCUUUGGCAAUGCUGGCUCUGCACCGACCGCUGCCUCUGCUGAAAGGAACCUUUAUCGGAAGGGCCAGCGCCUCUGAAAUCAGAACGAGAAGCAGGAGCCGGUGGAAAUAUGCUUCAGUAAACACUGUAUCCUCACAACAUCUGUACCACCGUGCUGCUCGUCAGCCGCUGCUCUGGGCUCGCUCGUAGCACCAAGUCGGUGAGCACCUCACAAGUUGACCCCUUCCAUCUAAACUCACACACGCGUUUGCAGAGAAGCGCUUGGAAGCCGCUCAGCUGCUUUGGCCACGCUCCGGCCUGAGGGCCGCCUGCGGCUCAGCGCCGUUUGGACGCACCUAGCAGGCCUGCAGCACGGCGCCCUUCGCUUCCACCUGUUAAGGCAUCAGGUCAACGGAAGCCGAACCACGGCUGCCAGGAGCCCGCCGGCUCCGCCGUCCUGACCGCACCGCUGUCAUCGCAGAAAGGCCAGAAGGGAAAGGAACCACCGCGGCCCGCUCGGAUCCCCCCUCGGCAGGCAGCAGGGCCGGCACCCCGCGGCGCGACCGACCCACCGCCGUUACGCAACCGCGCGCAGCACCGACCCCGGCCGCGCAGGGGAUGCCGCGCCGCUCCCGGCCGCAGGUCUGAUCCAAACGGACUGAUGUGCAGCACUGACGUUUGAGGAGGGGCGGUGCGGUGAGCUCAGGUAUCAUACGCCACAUCUUUCCCAUCCCAUAGCUGGGAGACGAGGCAGGUGAGUGGGAGAGCCUGGUGGCAGUUUGGGGGACCUGCUGCGGAAGUUUGAGUAUCAGAGGAACAGGAAGGUCACAGCAGAAGUGAGAGCACUGAAGUAAGCUGACCGAGAGGAAGGAGGAUGGCAUAGCACUUUGUGACAGUCAAGUUUCAUUAGCCGGAUGGAAUGAUUUGUUUCACUGUCUUCAUUGGCUAAAAAGGCAAGAUCCUUUCUGAUGCAUCGAGACUUAGGAAAGUUGUUUCUCCCUCUCAUCACUCGGUAGCAGCCAGCUUUCAAGACCAGGAGUCAGAUGGCUGCAAGGGCAAGCUCCCAGCUUCAUUUCCCCACCAUCAGACUUUCUCAGGGGGAUGCAGAUGGAGAAGAGAAACACCUACUGCAGCUUGGUCGGCCCGUGCACAGAAAAAAAAAACCUUACUGGUGGACACCGUGAACAAAAAGGCACAAGUGGUUGUGCCUGACAGGAAGAACGGCCCUGGCGUUGGCCGCAGCAGCUGCUGUAAGGCUCAGAUGUUGACCUGAGCCUCCGGAAAGAUCUUUUCCUCUGCGGUACAAGACGCUUUGGCAGAUCUGGAUCUGAAUGCAGAGGGAAAAAACACACCUGCCAUUUCAGGCUUGUGCCGGCGCCCAUCUAACAGUGCUGUCUCCAUGAGCUUGAAGUCUACUGGAAAAAAAAAAAAAGAAGUAGUAGCAUUUAAAGGUUAAAAAAAUUGGAAUUGCAAGGCUCUUCAAAAAUGUGGUCCUGAAUGGAUACCUCCUAGAUACCCUUAGAGCUAACAGAAGUGGAGCUGGAGGGGAUGAAAGAACUACAAAAGCAUGAGUAAUUGGAGUAAGUAAACACUGACUAGUUCCUUUUUCCUGGUGUUUGCUUUAGUCAGAUUUGUGCACAUAGAAAUCAAGUAACACGGGACUCAGCUCGCUCAUUCCACCCUCACACUUCAGCACAUGGAGUUUGCUCAUCUAAUCUGGGAGCUUAUCCUAAAAUAAAACAAUUGUAGCCAAGAGAGUACCAGAAAAAAAUAAACAAUGAACUUCUUCACAAAGCACCAUUUCUGUAAGAGCUUGCCCUGAAAGCUGAACCUACCAGCAGGAUUCCCAGGGAAUCUUCUCAGCUCAGGGCUCUGCAAUUGCGCUCCAAGAGAAAGCGAAAGAGGCUGCAAAGAGCCCCCAAAACACGGGCAGGAGAUUGGGAAACCACCAGCAACCAAAAGCAUUUGGCAUAAGGUAUGCUUAAUUCUGGAUUGCUCUCCUCUUUUGCUGGAUAACGGUCUUAGCUCACUCGGCCAGAUGAAAAUGUAAACACCAAUAAUGUUUAGAAAGUAUUACACAUGCAUUUAUUUUGCACAAGCUGCCGUGUGCUGCAAGAGGUCUCUCACUGGCAGAUUGCAAAGCUCCCCCAAACUGCGUAAGGAGAAGUGGAGAACUGCUUUCUGCUGAAAUAAAGCCCUUCAGAACAGCUAGUUAAUAACUAACCGCAAGAUGCACGGUAGGUUAGUACAGGAAAUAAGCUCACUCUCCGUGGAAGAGCAGGGGGACACGAGGUAAACAGAUUGGUGCCGUUGGAUUUUGGCCCAAACGCUCACGCUCUACAGGCAUGCUGACAGCAGGCACCGCUGGGUUUUUCGCUGGCAUGGCUCGCUGCCACUCGUCCUCUGUUACGUCCAAACCACCACUCCUCUGCCAGGGCUGUGUCUUCGUGGCGAGGUCUGAACGAGAGAAGCAAAUCCUGCUGCCUGCAGAGCCACUUCCUGCAGCACGCGGCUGUGCUUGCGUAGCUUCUGGCGGCCAAAAAGAUUGCAACAGAGACGACAAGGACUGAACAAACGUGUGCUCCUGAUAAAAAAACAUCCAUCUACGAAAGCAACACUUGCGAACAGAUGAGAGCAUCUGUGGCAGUGCUUCUGUCAGCAGGAGGGCCCAGCCUGCUCGUAACGUAGACAUUGCUGCAGCAGCAUUGAAGCUGUAGCUGCACUGAAUUUCAUCUCUGUUUCACAGCAGAUCACACCCUCUUAAAAUAUCUUCGGGUUUUUAAUCCUUUGGUGAAUUCACAGUACUUCUAUGCUGUCUUUUCUGCUCUGAACUCCCAAUUGCCCUCGUCUGUGGCAACACCAAAACUCAAUGCACUAUCCCAUUUUCUUUCCUAGCUAUCGCCUCUUCACUUCAGCCUCAAGUACCACACCAGGAGCCUGUCUCAUUAAUGUUUUACUUGGUCGUGACUAAUGCAACCUCUUUGACAUUAUUCUCCACCCUAGAAACCAGGUAUGCCUGGGGUUUUGCGGUCUGAAAACAGAGCAGCAUUGUCAUAAAACAGCCUACACUCUCCAGAGAUAAUACAGAACACUUCAAAAACUACUUGGACCUUAAUUUGCUACACCUGUGCGUUUUCUGGAUCAUCUUUUCGACAAACUGAACCACAGGUUUGGAUUUUGACAAGUCUGCUUUGUGCUAGAAAUCUACAGGUUUAACGUCAUCUCCUAUAGCUGCAGACAAGGACUCACAAAGCUCAUUUCAAUAGUUUCUUCCUUCCUUCCUCAAAGUUAGACAUUUGUUAGUUGACGUUAGUUGUUCGACAACCCAAUGUUGGCAGAAGAACUUCCCUGUGGAUCACUGUGAGAUAACACACACAUAGGAAAGUAAUCCAAACCAAAGCUCCUCGAUGCUGAACGUGGAAGUAGCUGUCACAACCCACAAAAGAGAUCCUGAAGUCACUGUUGACAGUCGUCUGAGAUCAUCAGCUGAGUGUGGGUCAGCAGCCAAAAAAUGUGUUAGGCAACGUCAGAAAGUGUUGAGAAAGACAAAAGGCUGCUUUGUACUUAGCUGCUUUGUAUCACCUCGGCGUACCCAGUCCGGCUCGUGCACUUGUGCAGAGGAUGGGAACACACCCUUGAUUAAUCAACGCAGAUAUUAGAAUUAAACCAUGAUUUGUGAUGAGCCUGAAUUGGUGACACGUUUUUGCUGCCUCCAACCCCAGGAAACAGCAACAAGAGAGGUGUAACUUUAACAUCCUGGGGCAACAAGUUACUCUUCAUUCCGAAAUAGUGGCAUCAGCCAAUGUCUUUGGCACUAUCUCCUGAUCUCAUGGAUUAUAGGUAGCUAAAGAUUACUCCUGUUGCCUUUCUGAACACAUACUUUAGAACUACAGCCCUGUAUCUCUUAUCAGGCUGUUGCUCAGGUUUUACAAAUGGCAUUCUACCAGUCACGUCCUCAUGCUUUAGGAUAACCCCAGUACUUGAUUUAAGUUGAUUAAUAUGCCAAGGGGCUUAUUUAAAAUGCAUCUAUGUCUUUCCCUAGAGGCUAAGUUACAUUGCCUCCUGCAGUAAAACUCAACACCUCUAUGUUGACUACACCGAACUGCCAACCUGCAUUAAAAAAAACCCUCUUCUAUUAAACAUUAUUGCUCCUUAGGUUUGUCUGCAAAUCAACACAUUUUCAACCCUCAAAAAGUAAUUUAAUCUGCACAGAUGCUGGAGCCAAGAAGGGAUUGAAAGAUCAUGACCACGCUGUUGGAAAAGAGCAACAGAUUUAAUCAUUACUGAAGUGUAAGCCUGCUCUGGCCAUUGUCUAGAGCAGGAGCUUCAGCUGUGAUCACAGUGCUUCUUGACCACCUUCUAUCUUCGUAUGGUUACACUUGCCAGCUGUAGAAAAGUAUUUGAGAAAAGUAAAGAUUUCACAAACAGAUCAAGAGGAGAAAACACAGUAACUAACAGAUGUCUGCUGAAAGCAUGUAACCCCUUGGGCUCCAAGAGCAAGUUCUUUGCUAACAAAACCACUCAGUCACCAAAGCUAAAGAAGAGGCACUUCUACUGUCAAUGUUUCACUCUAAUAAGAGGUAUAGUGAAAUGCAGUACACUGCUUUCACUUUAAUUUAUUGUCUAUUGCUCCAUGAGUUCAAAGAAAAGCCACAUUUGUUAAGAGACGUGUUAAGAAUGGAGAAAGAGAAGCCAGCUGACACAGUUUCUUUGCAAUGCUAGCUGUAUGACACUUAAAGGAAGAUCCCAGUGCAACUGCUACACAACUGUGUAGAAUCAAUCUCACAGACCCCCUGCUUCUGCUGCUGGCUGCCCCAUAAGCACCAGAAAGAGGUCCGAAUCACUAAUGUAGCCCCAAGGUUUUCACCUCCAGAGAGCAUUGCCAACGCCAAGCCCCACCAAUUGCCUAGCGUUCGGCUCCCCCUAGCGGAGCGGUGUGUCAUUGCAAUGCUGGCCUCUGAAAUCCACCGAGUUUAAUGGUGCUCAAAUGACAACAUGCAGGAAGUACCUCACAACCUAUAGCUGCCUUCCCUUCAAGAAUUCUGACUCCAGACACACUUCAGUAUUCGGCAAUCACACUACUGUGGUAAGUCAGAAUUAACUGCUGCAAAACCAAUACUUGAAUUUGUUCACCUUCCUAAUAAACAUGUUGGGAAAAAAUGAUGUGGUGUACAAAUAUGCUGUUAGAAAUCCUUUGCUAUUUGUAACUGUGAAAGAGUGUUACCAUAUUUUCAAGUAAGAGUUUCCAUGUGGUGUGAAGAUGCACAUUUGCAGAAGAAUUUCUUGAUGGUUUAAUCUUGGCAAAGGUGUAACCAAUAACAUUCUCAAGUUUUUUUGAGGAAAACACUCAACAGAUCUCAGAGAAGAGUGUAUCAGCCAAACACUCUGACUAUCAUGAGAUUAUAACCUACUCUGCUAUAAAGGCAAAAAAAUAAGUAGUACUUUGUGGUGCUCUUCAAGACCACUGGCAAUUUUAUUUACUCAAAUUCAGGCAUCUCUUCUCAUUAUUGUGUACUAACAGCUCACGUAUACAAGUAGCAGAACUUUUAGGUACAGUACACUAAACUCUGUGCAUUGAAAUAAACCAUAUAAACUUGAUGUCAACAUUUUUCAGUGCGACACUUAUCCAAAACAAACCCACCAGGAUGUAAAUCAGCAAAGCUUCUGCUCCUGCAUCUUCUCCCAGGAAGAAGAGCUUCUCACAGAGCCCUCUUCCCUGAUGCUCAAGCACCACAAUGUGUUUUCCUGUCAAGGUGCAGGAAACAGUCUUAUGACUCAGAAGAUCCAUUAGACAUUUCAGGACUUCACCUCUUAAAACACAAAUGCAGUUUUCAGUGAACUUCCAUUCCUUACAAAGCAGCCAAACCUUGCUGCUAACAGGAAGUCUCUGAAGGGAAAACCAACCCAGACACAAGUUUAUGGUUACAGCAGCACUGGAUUACAGCACUACUCACAGAGCAAUUCUUCCUCGGAACAAACAGCACAGCUAUGCGAACUCAAACAUUACAACCUUGAGAUCAAUAUGAGCUCAAAUGCAUGUAAAUGAAAUAAACACAAAUAUCCAGUGCCACAUUCUAGGAAUACGGAGAGAACUUGGUUUUGGAUAAAACAAAUAUAUUUGAUAAUUUAAGAUUAAAACAAUUUUCCAUAUGCAUCAGUACUUGGGCAAGUUAAAAAAAAAAAAAACAACAGUACCCUUACAGUCCAGACAGGAAGAGAAAGAUGAGACUAAAUAUAUUCCACUGCAAUGUCUUACAAGUAGAAGUCUCUCACAGACAGCAACUGACCCCACUCGAGUACUCUACCUGCAAACCCUCCUUCUUCUAGGUCUGUGUUGCCUACCUACUCUGCUUUCUGUGCCUUCAGCCGAAGUUCCAAGUGCUCAGCUAAGACCUCAGCCUUAGAAAUUCUCACACUGAGGAGAAGCAAAUAUAUAUAUUUUUUUAAAUCUGAAGUUUAUGUUUGCAACAACUGGUUAACAGAAAUACAAUUCCUACUGCCCCAGUUAUCUGCAAAAAUCCUUACGGUUAAGAUUUCAACUUCUCGAUAAGACAUUUUCUCUAGUUUUGAGGUAGCCUUUCUCACUCUUGACAAUAAGAGCUCAAUCUUACACAAGCUGCAAUUAUGGUAGUGGACCAGGUUUAAUACAAAACUGCCCUCCGCCAUCACACUCUUUGGGUUUUGCUUGGUAGUCAUUUAUACAUUGAUAAAUCAUACGGUAAUUAACGAGACUUGUGGCCAUUAACACAACUGUGUUAGAUAAGGUAUACAAGUGCCAUACAAAAGGAAGAUGUGAAUCCUCCUUGUCUCAUCCUUCCUUUUCCCCAUGUUUCUACCUGUCACCAAAGCCUGUCCAAGUUUGUUCUUUGAGUAGAAUUAGCUGAUCCACAUUAGCAGUGAGCCCAGGAAGGCAGGAGCUAUUUAAGACACGUAGAGCCUAAGGCCACUUAAUAAGGAAAGGUGUGCCUGCUCCCUUUGCAACACCAGGAAGCAUCUUCUGGAACCAGCCAGAGCAAUGAACAAGUGGGUGGGGUUUCACUUUUUCUUCUAGCUCAUUUAGGAAUAAAUCAGCAUAGCCUCCCUGUCCUGUAGUCUAAGGAAGUUAGCUCCACUGUCAGAGACUGCAAAGGAAACGAAGGUUUUCUAGCAGUAAAAACAACCCUGCAACCCCUCACCCACCACUCUGAGCACUUCAUAUCCGUCCACUUGUUUAUUGAAAAAGCUCUCACAGAGAUGAUCUUCUCAAUCCUGCUCUCAAUAC